UACGUAGGGUGCAAGCGUUAUCCGGAAUUAUUGGGCGUAAAGAGCUCGUAGGCGGUUUGUCGCGUCUGCUGUGAAAACUGGAGGCUCAACCUCCAGCCUGCAGUGGGUACGGGCAGACUAGAGUGCGGUAGGGGAGAUUGAAAUUCCUGGUGUAGCGGUGGAAUGCGCAGAUAUCAGGAGGAACACCGAUGGCGAAGGCAGAUCUCUGGGCAUUAACUGACGCUGAGGGGCGAAAGCAUGGGGAGCGAACAGG
rnacentral:rRNA from 1 species